AUGAAGAAUGCUUGCAACUCGAUGGGAGGUCAUCUUCUCGAAAUACAAAAUGCACGUGAAGACAAUUGGAUAGCUUUACAAACUAACAAACGAGGCUAUAGAUAUGGGGUGUGGUUAGGGUUUCAUGACAUGCACCAAGAGGGAAAUUAUGUGACCUUGUCCUCUGGCGGUGGAAAGAUUUGCUACAGCAACUGGCAUAGAGGGGAACCAAACAAUUAUGGAAAAAGUAAAAGCGAUUACCCUCUGUGUAUUAUGGACUUUGAUCUCGACAACAAAAUCUCUGAUCAUAAAUCCAACACUUCCACCGUCUCCGCUUUUGGUCACUGAUACAACAGACAAACUCUCUCACAAUGAUUCUCUAUCCAAUGCUUCAAGACCCCAUUCUUCUCUUAACUUGGAUCCCAUUGUGGGCAUCGAUGAACCGGAACCUUUACACACUUUAAAUGAGACAACAGGGAAACAAGAUAAUACUACAUCGAAUGCUACUGAUUUACAAAGGACUUUAAAUGGAAGUACCAGAGUUUUUAAGCCGAUUGUUCUUGUGGAUGCAAAUGGAACCACAGUUAUCAACGGAGAGAAUCUAGCCUUAGUCGUUGGAAGUAUACCUAUCCAUGAAUCGAGCUCAAGAUCGAGAUCCCGUUCAAGAUCCCGUUCCAGAUCACGUUCAAGAACACGUUCCAGAUCACGCUCAAGAACACGUUCCAGAUCACGCUCAAGAACACGUUCCAGAUCACGUUCACGCACCAGCCGACAUACCAGCUCACGUUCUAGAUCAAGUUCUAGUUCAAGAUCGCAGUCACGAUCGCGUUCUAGUUCACGGUCGAGAUCAAGUACAGACCCUAUUCAAGUUUACACUCCAAGUCAGAUUUGAAUAAAGAACAUGUAUUCGAAAGUUAA
rnacentral:misc_RNA from 1 species